rnacentral:misc_RNA from 1 species
AACGCACAUUGCGCCCUCUGGUAUUCCGGAGGGCAUGCCUGUUCGAGCGUCAUUUCAACCAAUCACGCGAGUGGUGUUGGGGCUUGCUACACAGCAUCCCUUAAAAACAGUGGCGGUGCUAUAGGGCUCUCAGCGUAGUAAUUAUUCCGCUCUUGGACCCUAGACACACCUGUCAUAACCCCCGAUUUUCUUAAGGUUGACCUCGGAUCAGGUAGGGAUACCCGCUGAACUUAA